GGGUCGGUAACUCAGAGGUAGAGUGCGGGAUUGCAGAUCCUGAAGUCCCCGGUUCGAUCCCGGGUCGGCCCU